AACGAACGCUGGCGGCAUGCCUAACACAUGCAAGUCGAACGAGAACUGCGGGUCUAGUGGCGCACGGGUGCGUAACGCGUGGGAACCUGCCCUUAGGUUCGGAAUAACUCCCCGAAAGGGGUGCUAAUACCGGAUAAUGUCCUCGGACCAAAGAAUUAUCGCCUUUGGAUGGGCCCGCGUUGGAUUAGCUAGUUGGUAGGGUAAAAGCCUACCAAGGCGACGAUCCAUAGCUGGGCUGAGAGGAUGAGCAGCCACACUGGGACUGAGACACGGCCCAGACUACUGCGGGAGGCAGCAGUGGGGAAUAUUGGACAAUGGGCGAAAGCCUGAUCCAGCAAUGCCGCGUGAGUGAUGAAGGCCUGAGGGUUGUAAAGCUCUUUUACCCGGGAUGAUAAUGACAGUACCGGGAGAAUAAGCUCCGGCUAACUCCGUG
rnacentral:rRNA from 1 species